ACUCCUACGGGAGGCAGCAGUGGGGAAUAUUGGACAAUGGGGGCAACCCUGACGCAGCAACGCCGCGUGGAGGAUGAAGGUCUUUGGAUUGUAAACUCCUUUCGAUCGGGACGAUGAUGACGGUACCGGAAGAAUAAGCACCGGCUAACUACGUGCCAGCAGCCGCGGUAAUACGUAGGGUGCAAGCGUUAAUCGGAAUUACUGGGCGUAAAGCGUGCGCAGGCGGUGAUGUAAGACAGUUGUGAAAUCCCCGGGCUCAACCUGGGAACUGCAUCUGUGACUGCAUCGCUGGAGUGCGGCAGAGGGGGAUGGAAUUCCGCGUGUAGCAGUGAAAUGCGUAGAUAUGCGGAGGAACACCGAUGGCGAAGGCAAUCCCCUGGGCCUGCACUGACGCUCAUGCACGAAAGCGUGGGGAGCAAACAGGAUUAGAUACCCUGGUAGUCCACGCUGUAAACGAUGGGCACUAGGUGUGGGGGGUGUCGACUCCCUCCGUGCCGAAGCUAACGCAUUAAGUGCCCCGCCUGGGGAGUACGGCCGCAAGGCUAAAACUUAAAGGAAUUGACG
rnacentral:rRNA from 1 species